CCUACGGGGGGCUGCAGUGGGGAAUAUUGCGCAAUGGGGGAAACCCUGACGCAGCAACGCCGCGUGAGCGAUGAAGGUCUUCGGAUUGUAAAGCUCUGUCUUUUGGGACGAUAAUGACGGUACCAAAGGAGGAAGCCACGGCUAACUACGUGCCAGCAGCCGCGGUAAUACGUAGGUGGCAAGCGUUGUCCGGAUUUACUGGGCGUAAAGAGUAUGUAGGCGGAUAUUUAAGUCAGAUGUGAAAUCCCCAGGCUUAACCUGGGAGCUGCAUUUGAUACUGGGUGUCUAGAGUGCAGGAGAGGAAAGUGGAAUUCCUAGUGUAGCGGUGAAAUGCGUAGAGAUUAGGAAGAACACCAGUGGCGAAGGCGACUUUCUGGACUGUAACUGACGCUGAGAUACGAAAGCGUGGGGAGCAAACAGGAUUAGAUACCCCAGUAGUC
rnacentral:rRNA from 1 species